CCAACUUUUGUACCACUCCGAUCUGAUCAGGACCCAAAAACUGCACGUAAUGGAUGUAACAUCAGUCUGCAGGAAUCUACUGGUUGUCCUUUUUUCUUGAUCGUGACUGCAGGAAGCUUUAUUAAAGCCCCACUUUAUGUCUGUGAUUGGCUGAAGAGCUGUGAAAAGGUAGUGGGUGUGUGGGGUGAAGUCAGCGCUCUUCUGUGGAAAAAACCAGAGGCAAUUAAUUCACUCGGUGCGAGUGGGUAUACUGUCGGUAAUAGUGAUGGGUCGAUGAGGCCUCGUGAAGCGUUUCAGCACAUUCCCCAAACUGUAUCGAUACUGUGUCGACACAGUUUUGCUGUUUUGCUCCAUACUGACACCUGCUGGACCUUAAAUAUCAUUGCAGGCAACUUACUUUAGACUCACUACGGACACUGAUUCAAAGACCUAGUCAUUCUUGU